GGGUUUAGACCGUCGUGAGACAGGUUAGUUUUACACUACUGAUGACCUCACCGCAAUGGUAAUUCAGCUUAGUACGAAAGGAACCGCUGAUUCAAAUAAUUGGUUUUUGCGGCUGUCCGACCGGGCAGUGCCGCGACGCUACCAUCUGCUGGAUAAUGGCUGAACGCCUCUAAUUCAGAAUCCAUGCCAGAACGCGGUGAUACCACCCGCACGUACAGAUGGACAAGAAUAGGCUUCGGCUUUGUGUCUCAGCAGGCGAUUCGUCCACGGCCACGGAAGAGUGGUCUUGGUAUUUCGCGUAUUGUAAUUUCAACACGAGCGGGGUCAAAUCCUUUGCAGACGACUUAUCUGUGCGAAACGGUCCUGUAAACAGUAGAGUACCCUUGUUGUUACGAUCUGCUGAGGGUAAGCCGUCCUUCGCCUCGAUUUCCCCAGUGAGGGCGCCGUCUUGACGGGCUCUGGUUGGGGACGCGCUAAAUUUACGUGCGCAACAUGUGGGAAACUGGCUGACAGCGACUUUUUAGACCGUGAGGUACAGGGUAGGCUGGUUUACUUGGUCGUUUUCGCGAGUUUGGGCUGUCAGGUAUAGGGUAAGUGCUUACCCUGUACCUCAGAACAAAAACGGCCACCACGGACUCAAUUCUGCGUUUCCAGGCGAGAGGCUUUGCACACAGGACAGACAGAGGACGGGCUACCUGCUGGCAGUUUGAAAACAAUCAAAAGCAUUGGUGGAAAUCUGCCGGUAAAGUCGUGUUGUGUGAGGUGCAGGGUAAGUGCUUACCCUAUACCUCCCGAGUUUGCCGCCGCUAAAAAAAAAUAUAUGGGCGGAUGCGCGCCGAAUUAUCGAGUCUAUUGGUGUAGUUUUGGGGUGUGUACGUGCGCUGAAGAGUCUGUUGUUGCGAAAAGAAAUCUCGUGAGCACAUUUUUGGCAAAACGCAUACAAAUAAAUCUUGCGGAAAAUAAAAGUUGGCCCACGAGCGCCGUUUGGCAGAAAUGCCCCACGCAGGUGCUCGCAGGAUCUAUGACAGGAGGGCUCCCAUGGCAGGUAUAGGGUAGAGGUAUAGGGUAAGUUAGUUGUUAAUAGGCGCGGUUCUCCCAGUCUAUUGUAGUAAAGACAGAUUCGCGCGAGGUGUAGGGUAAGCUGGCUGACUUGGUCGUUUUUGAGCCGCGAGGUACAGGGUAAGUGCUUACCCUGUACCUCGGAACGAAAACCGCCACCACACGCUCAGUACUGCGUUUCCGGCCGAGAAAACUUGCAGACGGGCCAAACAGAGCACGGGCUACCUGCUGGACACUUCAAAAGUAUUGCCUCAAACUGGUCUUGCCGUUCUGUUGUGUUGAGCUCCAGGGUAAGCACUUACCCGGUACCUCCCGACCUUGCCGCAGCAAAAAAAAAAAAUACGCAGGCAGAUGCGCGCCGAAUUAUCGAGCGCAAUGCGCGCAUUUGAUCGAAGUCUGCGAUCCGUAUGGCGUUGUUGUUGCGAAAACCAAUGUCGUGAGCACAUUUUUAGCAAAUGCCAUACAAAUGAAUUUUGCGGAAAAUAAAAGUUGGCCCACGAGUGUCGAGAGGCGGGGGCGCCCCGCCCAGGUGCUCGCAGGAUCUAUGAGAAGGCGGGCGGAAAAACCGGGUCGGGUCAACCAGCUUGGCGUGGGUGCAAUUCCUACGGCCGACCUUCUGUACGUACCAUAUUUGACAGACAAUCCCUAUGCAACUCUUCAGGCGGGCUUCGAAGCUAUCCUCGUCUGCCUGGGGCGCUGCAGUGGGCGUCGACUUUCACGAAACCGGUCGCUCAGGCUUCACGGCGUACUGGAAAUGCUUGGAGGCGGCACGGGCUCAGGCCUGUUGACGCUGAAGAAUGGGUUCUGUGGAUGGCUGGCCGCUGGCAAGUCUUGAAACAGAGCAACGGGAGGCAACCCACGCUCGAUGGACGCCGCAAUGGCCGAAGCCGGGCGCUGUGUCCUCCUCCUGGGGCCCCCAUACCACACCACCCUCAGCGGGUUCGGUGCGGUGGACGGAUGCCCUGGGGAACGGAGAGUGGGAAAGCGGAUUGCCGUGCACGGUGCCCGUGGCGUAAGCCGUGGGUGCUGCGUGCGGCGCGUCCCUCGUGGACGCCGCCCAGCAUAACUUGACUCUCCGGCGCUCUCGUGGCGCCGGCGGCCGCACGCCGGGCCACAG
rnacentral:rRNA from 1 species